GUGAGUAGUUCAGAGUUUGAUCCUGGCUCAGGACGAACGCUGGCGGCGUGCCUAACACAUGCAAGUCGAACGGGGUAGAGAGCUUCGGUUUUCUACUUAGUGGCGAACGGGUGAGUAACGCGUGAGGAACCUGCCUUUCAGUGGGGGACAACAGUUGGAAACGACUGCUAAUACCGCAUGAUACUUUUGGGGGACAUCCCCCGGAAGUCAAAGCUUUAUGUGCUGAAAGAUGGCCUCGCGUCUGAUUAGCUAGUUGGCGGGGUAACGGCCCACCAAGGCGACGAUCAGUAGCCGGUCUGAGAGGAUGAACGGCCACAUUGGGACUGAGAUACGGCCCAG
rnacentral:rRNA from 1 species